GGGGAAUAUUGGACAAUGGGCGAAAGCCUGAUCCAGCAACGCCGCGUGAGGGAUGACGGCCUUCGGGUUGUAAACCUCUUUCAGCGGGGACGAAGCGCCAGUGACGGUACCCGCAGAAGAAGCACCGGCCAACUACGUGCCAGCAGCCGCGGUAAUACGUAGGGUGCGAGCGUUGUCCGGAAUUAUUGGGCGUAAAGGGCUCGUAGGCGGUUUGUCGCGUCAGGAGUGAAAACUCGGGGCUUAACCCCGAGCCUGCUUCUGAUACGGGCAGACUAGAGGUAUGCAGGGGAGACUGGAAUUCCUGGUGUAGCGGUGGAAUGCGCAGAUAUCAGGAGGAACACCGGUGGCGAAGGCGGGUCUCUGGGCAGUAACUGACGCUGAGGAGCGAAAGCGUGGGGAGCGAAC
rnacentral:rRNA from 1 species